GUGAGGUCCAGUGGGCUGCUCCGCCCUCAGCGCUGGGGCCUCUCGGGCUCAGCGUUCGGGAAGAGUUGAGGUCUGCCCUCCGAAGCAGUCACUGGUGGGAGAGGAGGGUGAGGGACAUGACGCCCAGAGAUGUAGCCGCCGGGCAGCCUGGGCUUCGCUUUUCCCUUCCAAGGCCUUCCCUGCAUGGCGAAGUGGCUGGCUCUGUUCACAUUCAAGCGUUGCCCAGAACAGCUUCGCGUGCACCUCAGAUGAUCUUUUAGGGGUUUUUAAAUUUUCAUUUUUUAGCAGUAGUUAUUAUUUUCUUUUCCCAUAGGGAGAAACAGGUGGUGCCUAAAAAAAAAAAAAAAAAAAAACCUCUGACAUUUAUUGGGUUUAUGCUGAAAAUAUUGAACAGUUCACAAAGGGGCCUUUGAUCCUGAGAACCUUUCAGAUCUUUGGUGCUUUUGUGCUCACCGAUUCCAGGCCAGUACACCAAUGCUCCCACAGCCUUGAAGCCCAGCGGGAAUGGGCUGGUCCAGGCUCAGGAGCCCCGUGCCUCUCCCUCUCCUUUCUUCAUUUUCCACCAGCUAAACGUCCCUUGCUCCGCCCCACUGCAUCCAUACACGUGUUUUGGUUUCGAUUGUUUGCUGACACUUUUUGUUAGCAGCUCAUUGAAGAUUUCCAGUCUGCAGUAAGGACUCAGCCAUAGAACCUUCUGGAGUCCCUGUAGCCUGGCUGAACCACCAGCUGUCCCGUGGCCACAGCCAGUCUUGCCCAUCCUACAUUCAGUCUGCAGGGAACAUUCUUUCCCUCCACACCCGCACUUCCCCGAGGCCAGCCCAGUCCAGGCUUUGGGGUCUGCCUGGCUGUCUCCUUGUCCUCCACUGCCCCGCCACCCCUGUCCCCAGCCUGGACCCAGAGCACAGUGUCCUGGCCUUUGUCAGCCUCCGUCUAUCCCCGCACCUCAGGGCCUGGUCCCUGAACCAGUGCCUGACUCAGUGACAGUCACUCACUCACUCUGUCCUCAGUGAGUGACAGGCUCUCAGAUCACCACGUAAAUGAAUGAACUUCUGGAAGAAAGAAUGACAACAUGGGUGUUUAAACACAUUUGUUCAUUCAGCGUCUACUCUAUCUUUGGAAUGAUGCCUUCUUUCCCCUCUGAAAAGAGCAGCAUUUGGGGAGAGAGGGAGGCCUCGCUGGCGGGAUUGGCAGAACCCAGGAUGGAAGCCUGCCACGCCAGACGCCAGACACGCCAGGGUUCCCGCACACCUGUUCCCAAUCGCAGGAAGCGGAGAGGCCGCCUCCUCCCUCUUUGUUUGUGUUUUCCCUCUCCCUCUGUCCCUUCCACAUGCCCCCACCCUGAGUCGGGAUCUGUGCCUCGGUAUAGACUGCAGUGAGUUUUGACCUCCUCCUCGCCAUCCUCCUUGUCUUUUAUUUAAAAGGCAGCAGAGAUGGGGACUCUGGUCUCUCUCCCUGCCCCUCCCGCCAACAGCUGCACAGCAUGGAGUUCACUGUUCUGUGGCUCUGGGCCUUUGUGUCUGGGCGCCCGUAGUCCUGAGCCCUGAACAGUCGGGAGAGGUGAGGGCAAAGACAAGAGCGAGGUGACGGGACAGCCGCCUUGUCCUCAGCGUCCCUCCAGGAGCCCCUCAAGGUUGGAAUGGCAGGAACCAGGUCCUUCCUGGAGCCUCUCGUCUCUGCUAGGCAGUGAUGUGUUGUAACACGUUCCUGGAGCCCUUCCUCGCCAUCUGUCUCCCGAGCUGGAUUAUCACUCCACUCCGAGAGAGGGGUUCCAAUUUGCAAUUGUAAAUUGUCUUUUUCCCCCCUUUUCACUCCACAUGCAGGGACUCUGACAGCUUGAAGGGGCUGUCGUGGUUUGCAGUGAGCAUGGCUUGUUUUCCAUACGGCACAAAACACAUUCCCUCUGGAGUCCCUGGAGGGACGGGGACAGUCCCCAGGGGUGCUGGGUGGGCGGUGGAGGCCAGGUGAGUAGGAGGCUGCGAGGGAGAGAGGCAGAUGCUGGACACAUGGUCUUUCUCCAAGUUGACCUCGGGCUGAUUCCAGGACUCGACCCUGGGCUCCCCCUGAUGAGCCCAUCCUGACGAGCUCAUGUGUGCAAUGAGGUAAGAGCGGAUGGCACCGGUGGCACCUGAACUCUCGCCUCUCUUCCUCUCCUAUGAGAGCCUUUACACCACGGGGCAGGGCCAGAGGGCUUCCUUGCUACGCAGCUGGGCCCUAUCACUUCCCCCGCGUGGCACCCUUCACGCUCCUCACCCUGCUGGGCCCUGCAUAAGGCCUGCUGCCCGCAGCCUGCUGCCCUUCUCUGUCCCGGGGGACACUGACCUCCUCAUCAUUGUGCCUCGAACACACCAGGGCACCUUUCACAGGCAUCUGCCCCGCAGACAGCUUCACUGCUGAAUUCUACUAAACAUCUGAAGAGGAGUUAAGAUCAGAUCUUCACAAAUACCUCCAAAAGACGGGAGGAGAAAAUGCUUCUCAGCGCCUUUGAGUCCAGUGAUCCCUAGGUGCCAUAGCUGGACAAAGAUACCACAGGACAAGGAGCUGGCAGGCACAGCCUCUUCCAGGGUCGAUCUGCACUGAGGUCAGCAAAAUGCUUUUGGCUCCUACUGAACAGAGAAGGAAACUGAGGCUGGCACGUCCCCAGAUGGAGACGGCGUUCACGACAGCCAGGGGCCAGGGGAUGAUGAGCUGGUUUGUCCCAAGAGAAGGCAUCAUCAUCAUCGUGUUGAUGUCGGCCCGGAGCGUCCACAGCGCUCCUGACAAUGCGAGUCUUCCCCAAAUGGCAUCUCUUUCAUAAAGAGAGACACAGGUCCUGCAAUCCAGGGAGGAGGCAGAGAGGAGUGCUCGGCCCCACACCUGGGCCGUGGGACCGGUGGAGUUCAGGUAAAGCCACACGGAUGGAGAAACCACUUCAUACACUCAGUGAAAGCAGUGUUCCUGAUGAGUUUGAGUCAGCGCUGGGAAAUUACAGUCAGAAUCAACUGCAGCAAAUCAACAUCCUCUCUGCCCCUCAGUCUUCUCCUCCGCAGAGUGGGCUAGAAGAUCAGUGCUUGCUGGAACUGUCAUCUCUGUGCUCAGCAGUGAUUGCAGUGACUGGCGUGAACAGCCUUCAAACUGGUCCUUGGCGGGGGUGGGAAAGUGGAGGCGGGCAC